CAGAGGCCCAAAAGGGAAAAAUGGUUGUGUGGGCUGGGACCAGCACCCACCCCCAUUUGCUGUGUGCAGCCUAGGGGCUUGGUGCCCUGCAUCUCAGCUGCUCCAGCCAUGGCUAAAAAAAGCUAAGGUACAGCUGAGUCCAUGGCUCCAGAGGGUGCAAGCCCCAAGAAAAGUGUUUGGGUGAGGGGCUGUAGCAGUUGCACUGAGAUCCUGUCACUGAAGAGGGUGAAGCCUGCCUCAGUGGCCACAGCCUCGGCAGGGGGUAGUGAACCUGCAUCCCUCUCAUACACCAGUCUUCCCAGGGCUCACCCAUCCCUGGUGGUGAUAACCUGCACCUAGCUCGUGCCUCAAUCCCAGCUGCAGGAGCUCCUAUCUAGCUUGUGACUAAGCAACCUCUGCCCUGCUCAGAUCACAGUCUCAGUCCUGGUAGUGGCUCACAUCCAAGCACUAACAGCUACAGCUCACACCUCACUUGCUUCUCAGCCCCAGCUAUGGGAGCCUGCUCCCAACAUGCACCCCAGCAGCAACAGCCCAAGUAUGCCUGACACCUCAGUCCCAGCACCACUGGGCCCCAGGACAGCAUGCAGUCUGCCAAAGGCUAGGACUGAAAAUGGCACCUUGCUGUAGUCACUUUGGUCUCAGAAAGUGUACAGAUCCCAGCACGAGUUC
rnacentral:lncRNA from 10 species